AUUGAACGCUGGCGGCAUGCUUUACACAUGCAAGUCGAACGGUAACAGGCCUUCGGGCGCUGACGAGUGGCGAACGGGUGAGUAAUGCAUCGGAACGUGCCCAGAGGUGGGGGAUAACGCAGCGAAAGCUGUGCUAAUACCGCAUAUUAUCUGAGGAUGAAAGCGGGGGACUAAGCAGCAAUGUUUGGCCUCGCGCCUUUGGAGCGGCCGAUGUCAGAUUAGGUAGUUGGUGGGGUAAAGGCCUACCAAGCCGACGAUCUGUAGCUGGUCUGAGAGGACGACCAGCCACACUGGGACUGAGACACGGCCCAGACUCCUACGGGAGGCAGCAGUGGGGAAUUUUGGACAAUGGGCGCAAGCCUGAUCCAGCAAUGCCGCGUGCAGGAAGAAA
rnacentral:rRNA from 1 species